rnacentral:rRNA from 1 species
GACGAACGCUGGCGGCGUGCCUAAUACAUGCAAGUAGAACGCUGAAGGAGGAGCUUGCUUCUCUGGAUGAGUUGCGAACGGGUGAGUAACGCGUAGGUAACCUGCCUGGUAGCGGGGGAUAACUAUUGGAAACGAUAGCUAAUACCGCAUAACAGUAGAUAUCGCAUGAUAUCUACUUGAAAGGUGCAAUUGCAUCACUACCAGAUGGACCUGCGUUGUAUUAGCUAGUUGGUGAGGUAACGGCUCACCAAGGCGACGAUACAUAGCCGACCUGAGAGGGGGAGCGGCCACACUGGGACUGAGACACGGCCCAGACUCCUACGGGAGGCAGCAGUAGGGAAUCUUCGGCAAUGGACGGAAGUCUGACCGAGCAACGCCGCGUGAGUGAAGAAGGUUUUCGGAUCGUAAAGCUCUGUUGUAAGAGAAGAACGAGUGUGAGAGUGGAAAGUUCACACUGUGACGGUAUCUUACCAGAAAGGGACGGCUAACUACGUG